rnacentral:rRNA from 1 species
CGCGAUUCGCCUUGGGGUGCACCAGGCGCGAAAACUUUACAAUGCCGGCAACGGCGAUAAGGGAACCUCGAGUGCCAGGUUACAAAUCUGGCUGUCGUGAUGCCUAAAAAGCAUUGCAUAGCAAGGGCCGGGCAAGACCGGUGCCAGCCGCCGCGGUAACACCGGCGGCUCGAGUGGUAACCGUUAUUAUUGGGUCUAAAGGGUCUGUAGCCGGCCGGGUAAGUCUCUUGGGAAAUCUGGCAGCUUAACUGUCAGGCUUUCAGGAGAUACUGCCUGGCUCGAGGCCGGGAGAGGUGAGAGGUACUUCAGGGGUAGGGGUGAAAUCUUGUAAUCCUUGAAGGACCACCAGUGGCGAAGGCGUCUCACCAGAACGGACCUGACGGCAAGGGACGAAAGCUAGGGGCACGAACCGGAUUAGAUACCCGGGUAGUCCUAGCCGUAAACGAUACUCGCUAGGUGUCGGCCACGGUGCGACCGUGGUCGGUGCCGUAGGGAAGCCGUGAAGCGAGCCACCUGGGAAGUACGGCCGCAAGGCUGAAACUUAAAGGAAUUGGCGGGGGAGCAC